rnacentral:rRNA from 1 species
GACGAACGCUGGCGGCGUGCUUAGCACAUGCAAGUCGUACGGUAAGGCCCUUUCGGGGGUACACGAGUGGCGAACGGGUGAGUAACACGUGAGUAACCUGCCCACAACUUUGGGAUAACGCUAGGAAACUGGUGCUAAUACUGGAUAUGUGCUCCUGCUGCAUGGUGGGGGUUGGAAAGCUCCGGCGGUUGUGGAUGGACUCGCGGCCUAUCAGCUUGUUGGUGGGGUAGUGGCCUACCAAGGCGGCGACGGGUAGCCGGCCUGAGAGGGUGACCGGCCACAUUGGGACUGAGAUACGGCCCAGACUCCUACGGGAGACAGCAGUGGGGAAUAUUGCACAAUGGGCGCAAGCCUGAUGCAGCAACGCCGCGUGCGGGAUGACGGCCUUCGGGUUGUAAACCGCUUUCAGCAGGGACGAAGCUUUUUGUGACGGUACCUGCAGAAGAAGCACCGGCUAACUACGUG